GCACGUUUUACAACAAAAUUCAAAAUUCAAGACUUUAGGUUUCUAGAUUAACUAAAGAAAACAAGAUUUGGAAAUAAAAUCAAGAAAACAACCUCCUCUGCUCCGAGCAAUGACAUCUUCCCAUGAUCACUUCCAAGGACAGGCUUUGAUGCCUUUUCAUAGUCAGCCUUGAAAUAUGUCACACAAGAGUCACCUUGUCCAACAUAUAUCUUCUUGACACCGUCGUGAACACCAUCAUCCCAAGCAACUCCACCAUCUCCACCUUGUGCUGGAAUAGUAUUGGAAGAAGGAGUCAAUGGUGUGGACGAAGGAACAAUAUAAGCUCCUAGAGAAUGGAUCAGAUCGCUUGAAGUUCCAUGGAAUCCAACAAUUUUGCCACCUCCUAGCUCAGCUUCUUCUCCAGAGGUUAGUCCAAACGGCUGAGAAGUUUUCCCCUUGAAUGUCUUGAAUAUAAGAGCUGUGACAAUCUCUAUCGGUGACCCGAAAAGUUUCUCGUAGUAAACUUUCACAUAUGUGAUGAAGUCUUCCGGAUCAAUCUCAAACUGCAAAAACCGAUCAACAUUAGGGCAAAAAAACAAAACACUUUCGAGAAAUUUCAAGAAUAUAUACAAAGAUUUGUGAACCUCCUCUGUUCCAAGUAGUGUCUGCUUCCCAUGUUCAAGUGAUACAAUCUUACCAUCUUUCUCGUAAUCAAACUUGACAUAAACCACACCAGAGUCACCUUGUCCAACAUAAACUUUCUUUACAUUGUCGUAAGCACCACCAUCGUCCCAUACAUCUCCUCCACGACCACCUUGAGCUUCCAAUUUGGUCGGACCACCUGAUACCGGCGGAGUCACUGGCGUAGUUGACGGAAUUAUAUAAACUCCUACAGAAUGGAUCAGAUCACUUGAACUUCCAUGAAAUCCAACGAUCUUGCCACCUCCUAGCUCAGCUUCUUCUCCAGAGGUUAGUCCGAAAGGCUGAGAAGUUUUCCCCUUGAAAGUCUUAAAGAUUAGAGCCGUAACGAUCUCUAUCGGUGAUCCAAAGAGCUUCUCGUAGUAAACUUUUACUG
rnacentral:lncRNA from 1 species